GGCGGGCCGUUCGAACGGCGCUGCCGCUGCUGGCGGCGCUCGGGCCGGGCUCUGGGCGCUGCGGGCUCGCUGUGCCCCCGGGCAGCCCGACGCAACACAGCCCGCCCGGGCAGCUCCGGCCCGGCCUCCCCCGGCCCGGCCUCCCCCCUCUCCGCAGCGCCCGAGGCGCAGGCAAGGCUCCCUUCCCGACGGGACAGGCCGCGCUGCUCCUCCGCCGCCGCUCCGGGACAGACAAUGGGCGAGCAGGGUCCUGGGGAAACGUGGCCUCGCCACACUGCGGAGCAGUGCCCUUCCCUGGCUCAGCGCCCAGUGCCAACAGAACACCUUGCAGGAUCCUCAGCAGCGCAGACAACACUCCAAGAUGCCGGCCUCGGCUUGGAACGGAGCGGUGUCAUGGCGGAGACGACGGCCUUUGUCUCGCAGGGUGUGAAAGCAUCCGUUGUGCUGGCUCCACUGCGGCAGAAUGAUGUCUAAAGGGGGGAAAAGUGCUGGAAGUCCGAGUAGUGCGGCGCUGGCGGGGGAGCCCCAUCCCCAUGGUGCGCGUCCGAGGAAGGGCUCUCGGCGGAGGAGCCUGCUGGAUGCUCAAGAGCAGAGGAUCUAUCAACUGCAGACCAAGCAGAGGGAGAGGCAGGCAGACCUGGAGCAGAAAUGCAGCCAGAGCAGCAGCUCAGCCAGGACCCGGGGGCCAGCCACCAGCUACGGAAGGGAGCUUGGAGCAGGUAGGAGAAGAUACCAGUCCACUCGAGCUCAGCAGCCCAGGCUGAGAAGGGAACUCUACUUGCUGCAUUCAUAGCAGUAAUAAUAAUCUGCUGCUCUUGUUUACAUGGCAGCAUAAGGAAGGGCUGAAGAUGUGACGGUAGAGUCUGUCGCCUCCCAGUGAGGAGGGAAGAUGGGAGGCAGCAGGGAGAUGGCUACAGCUCUGCUGGCUGUUAAUGGGUGGUGGGAUUUCAGUGGCUGUGGGGGUGUGAUGGCUGUCAUGCACAGAUGUUGUGGGUGUUGCUCUGCUGCUGACCUUGGAGAGACAAGAAGAGGAUGGCCACAAAAACACUGCCUCGGGGCAGAGCUGUCCUGGCUAGUGGUGACAUUUACAUGCUGUGAGCCAGGAGAUUAGGAUUGCUCAGACCUGUUCAGCCAUGCUGCUGUGGACAAAACCCUCAGCUUGCUCCUGGACAUCAGGGUGGGAGCACCCUUGUUCCUGCUGCAGGCCUGCUGGGCAGCCUGUGCCUGUCUACCCCAUGCUGGGUCUGUUUGCCCCUGCCCUACCACCCACCCCUGUAUUUCAAAAGCUGUAGAGUCAGAUCCUUUGCUCAGUGUGCGCCCCUGUGUGUGAGCCUGGCUUGGGAAAGCACAUUGCUCCCACCUCUGCAGCCAUCAGCCUGUCUGCCACAUGGCAAACAAGGAUGAGGAGAGCUGAUCCUGGAAGCCUGGGGAACUCCUGCUGCUGCACACUGCAGCAUUACUUACUUAACCUGGUAUCCACUUGCCAUUCCCUUCAGCACCACACACGCCAUUAAAAAUGUGUCUAUUUUAACAACUUGCUAGUGAAAUAUGCUUGGGGUUCUGGUAGAAUAAACGAGGUAUUUUUGACAUUGGAGCACCAGGUACCAGCAUAUUGGAUGCUCAGCACUUCUGGUUUGUCUAAAGCAGCUCAGAGGACAUAAUUUAAAAUAGAGUUGGGGGGUGUCCCCUUUAUUGGUCAAAGUGGAGACAUUUUGUUUCAUUUGAUGUGGUGAUGAUAAAUAUAUUCCUAUGAAUAUGUUAAUAUAUCUAUAUCUAUUCUAUAUCAUAUAUGUUCAUAUAUCAAUACAUACAUUGCAAUAUAUAUGGACACAAUGCACUGAUUACAUUUAUUGAAUUUGAAGGAAAGUUACAAGGUGUUGUUCUAUUUACUCGCACAUCAUCCAUUGUUCUGUGUGUGAGGAGUCAGCCCAGCAUGUGGGCUGAGCUGCGCGUGGCAAGCCCGCAUUCCAACUGCCCACAGUGAAGGUGGGAGCAGGACGUGCCUUUGUCUGUGUUUGUGGAUGGUGGCAGAUGGAUGAAUGUGGGAGAGGGUCAGCAAGUGCCUUUGUUUUGUUCUGCAU
ensembl:lncRNA